rnacentral:rRNA from 1 species
CAAUAGCGUAUAUUAAAGUUGUUGCAGUUAAAAAGCUCGUAGUUGGAUUUCUGGUCGGAAGCUCCUGUCCUCUGAUGAGCGUACAAGUGCGUCCUACCAUCCUUCUGUUAACCUUUAAGGCUUUCGCGGCUUUCUAGGGGCUCAGAUAUUUUACCUUGAGAAAAUUAGAGUGUUUCAGGCAGGCUAGCGCCGGAAUACAUUAGCAUGGAAUAAUGGAAUAGGACUUUUGCCUCUUCUGUUGGUCAUGAGGCUCGAGUAAUGAUUAAUAGGGAUAGUUGGGGGCAUUAGUACUUAACUGUCAGAGGUGAAAUUCUCGGAUUUGUUAAAGACUAACUUGUGCGAAAGCAUUUGCCAAGGAUGUUUUCAUUAA